rnacentral:rRNA from 1 species
AAUGGGCGGAAGCCUGAUCCAGCCAUCCCGCGUGCAGGAUGACUGCCUAUGGGUUGUAAACUGCUUUUAUGUAAGAAGAAAGCGAGCAUUUAUGUUCGUAUGACGGUAUUAUAUGAAUAAGCACCGGCUAACUCCGUGCCAGCAGCCGCGGUAAUACGGAGGGUGCAAGCGUUAUCCGGAAUCACUGGGUUUAAAGGGUGCGUAGGCGGUUUAAUAAGUCAGAGGUGAAAGGUUGUCGCUUAACGAUAAAAUUGCCUUUGAUACUGUUAGACUUGAAUAAAGAUGAGGUGGGCGGAAUGUGACAUGUAGCGGUGAAAUGCAUAGAUAUGUCAUAGAACACCAAUUGCGAAGGCAGCUCACUAGACUUUAAUUGACGCUGAGGCACGAAAGCGUGGGGAGCGAACAGGAUU